UACGUAGGGUGCGAGCGUUAAUCGGAAUUACUGGGCGUAAAGCGUGCGCAGGCGGUUGUGCAAGACAGAUGUGAAAUCCCCGGGCUUAACCUGGGAAUGGCAUUGGUGACUGCACGGCUAGAGUGUGUCAGAGGGGGGUAGAAUUCCACGUGUAGCAGUGAAAUGCGCAGAGAUGUGGAGGAAUACCGAUGGCGAAGGCAGCCCCCUGGGAUAACACUGACGCUCAUGCACGAAAGCGUGGGGGAGCAAACAGG
rnacentral:rRNA from 1 species